rnacentral:rRNA from 1 species
UAAACGAUGAUCACUCGAUGUUGGCGAUACACUGUCAGCGUCUAAGCGAAAGCAUUAAGUGAUCCACCUGGGGAGUACGGCCGCAAGGUUGAAACUCAAAAGGAAUUGACGGGGGCCCGCACAAGCGGAGGAGCAUGUGGUUUAAUUCGAUGAUACGCGAGGAACCUUACCUGGGCUAGAACGCAAGACGAUUUCCCGUGAAAGCGGGAUUCCCUUCGGGGCGGCUUGCGAGGUGCUGCAUGGUUGUCGUCAGCUCGUGCCGUGAGGUGUCGGGUUAAGUCCCAUAACGAGCGCAACCCCUAUCAUUAGUUGCCAUCAGGUCAUGCUGGGGACUCUAGUGAAACUGCCUACGCAAGUAGAGAGGAAGGUGGGGAUGACGUCAAAUCAGCACGGCCCUUACGUCCAGGGCUACACACGUGCUACAAUGGUCGGUACAAUGGGUCGCUACCUGGUGACAGGAUGCCAAUCUCAAAAACCGAUCUCAGUUCGGAUCGAAGUCUGCAACUCGACUUCGUGAAGUUGGAUUCGCUAGUAAUCGUACAUCAGCAAUGGUACGGUGAAUACGUUCCCGGGCCUUGUACACACCGCCCGUCAAGCCAUGGAAGCUGGGGGUACCUGAAGUCCGUGACCGCAAGGAGC